UUAAGUUAAGUUAAGUUAAGUUAAGUUCAGUUUAGUUCAAUUCAGUUCAGUUCAGUUCAGUUCUGUUUGGGAGCAUUCAGUUCAGUUCAUUUCAGUUCAAUUCAGUUAGAGCUGAUCAUGGGCGGGGUAACCCGCCAAGCCCCGCCCGCUAAAAUAGCGGGCUUGGACAACAUUUUUUUAAAAAAAUCAAUAAUUGGAAGGGCUAGGCCCGACCCGUUAAUAAAAAUGGGCGGGUUACGACACACAAAAUUUAUUAACGGAAAGGCCGCUUGACCCCUUAAAUUUAAAUAACAUAUUUAAAAUACUGAUUGGUGUCUUUAUGUCUUACAAAAUUCAAAGAAUACAGACAUAGGAAUUAGAAAAUUAAAAACUAAAAAAGAAUAUUCUAGAGUAUGUAAUUUCCUAAAAGAAACCCUAAAGGCCUAAACUAACAUUUUCAUUUCACAAAACAACCGUCACUUUCUAGUCUCCUACUCUCUUACCUUCUUCAUCUUCUUGCUCACUACACUUACUCCAUUGCUUCUCCAUCUACGAAGCUACUCACGCAGACCUAGAGACGGCGAGCCAUAUUUCAUCGCACAUGUCACGAAAGUUCUUGGUAAAGAUAAUGUUGAAGCUAGAUGGACCAUAAUUCUCCUUGAAUGAGAUGAUGGAUGGAUAAUGUGUUGUUUGAACACCAUGUUUUACCUUCUAAUUAGAGCUGUCGGUUGUUCCCCUCUUUUUAAUGAAAUUUGCAGGUUGUUUAUGAAAUACCAAUGGUUGUAAUUUGUCUUUGAAGUUGGAUGAUUUGCUUUUUUAUUUAACUUAUUUCUAUGAGGUUUGGUA